rnacentral:lncRNA from 1 species
AGUGAGAGAGAGUAUAAGUUAGAGAGAGAGAGAGCAUAAUUAAAAAAAUAGAAAGAAAAAUAUAGUCGAAAUUAGAGGGAGUGAGAGAGUUGAAAUUUUAGAAAGAGAGAGAGAGAGAAAGCUUAGUUUAGAGAGAGAAAAAAAAGUUAAAUUUUAGAGAGAAAAAUAAGUUUAGAGAGAGAUAUAAUGUUAGAGUGUAAAGAAAAAUAAUAUCAAUUAGCCGGCGGGUAGGAAGAAAGAAAGAGAUUAGACAUAUUAUGAUUAUUUAAAUCCAUUAAUAUGAGGAUACCCACCCUCCCUCAAGGGAAUGAGAUUAGUAUUUUAAGGUGAAUCUUAUUCCCAAGUGAAUCAAAUAUUACCAACUGGAUUACUUAGUGCGUUUAGCCAAACACCGUCAUAUUUUUUUAUUCCUAUUGGAUUACUAGAAAUCUUUAAAAGAUAGCGCGAACCAAACGCACCCUUAUAUUAAUGUUUUACCUACCAUA